rnacentral:rRNA from 1 species
GAUGAACGCUGGCGGCGUGCCUAAUACAUGCAAGUCGAGCGAAUGGAUUAAGAGCUUGCUCUUAUGAAGUUAGCGGCGCACGGGUGAGUAACACGUGGGUAACCUGCCCAUAAUACUGGGAUAACUCCGGGAAACCGGGGCGAAUACCGGAUAACAUUUUGAACCGCAUGGUUCGAAAUUGAAAGGCGGCGUCGGCUCUCACUUAUGGAUGGACCCGCGUCGCAUUAGCUAGUUGGUGAGGUAACGGCUAACCAAGGCAACGAUGCGUAGCCGACCUGAGAGGGUGAUCGGCCACACUGGGACUGAGACACGGCCCAGACUCCUACGGGAGGCAGCAGUAGGGAAUCUUCCGCAAUGGACGAAAGUCUGACGGAGCAACGCCGCGUGAGUGAUGAAGGCUUUCGGGUCGUAAAUCUCUGUUGUUAGGGAAGAACAAGUGCUAGUUGAAUAAGCUGGCACCUUGACGGUACCUAACCAGAAAGCCACGGCUAACUACGUGCCAGCCGCCGCCGUAA